UGGGUAGGCGGAAUAUUAAGUCAGUGGUGAAAUCCUGCGGCUCAACCGUAGAACUGCCAUUGAUACUGAUAUUCUUGAAUGUAGUUGAGGUAGGCGGAAUGUGUAAUGUAGCGGUGAAAUGCUUAGAUAUUACACAGAACACCGAUUGCGAAGGCGGCUUACUAAACUAUGAUUGACGCUGAUGCACGAAAGCGUGGGGAGCGAACAGGAAUAGAUACCCUGGUAGUCC
rnacentral:rRNA from 1 species